CUUCAAUCUCACCCUAAUCUGCUGGAGAAUCAGCUGAAUUUCGUCGAUUAAUCACAUUUCUGCUUCAAUAUUCAUGGCACCUAUAAAGGGCCUUCUUUCUCUACAACGAACUGCAUUAGCUCAGCGUUCUAGUGAAAGAUGGGGCCAAUAUGGUAGGUUAUUUAGCACUCAGGCUGCAUCAACUGCUAGCACUCCCCAACCUACACCCCCACCCCCACCUCCCGAGAGGACUCACUUUGGUGGCCUUAAAGAUGAGGAUCGUAUUUUCACAAAUCUCUACGGAUUGCAUGACCCUUACCUCAAAGGUGCCAUGAAGCGAGGAGAUUGGUACAGAACAAAAGAUCUUGUCAUCAAGGGUUCUGACUGGAUCGUGAAUGAAAUGAAGAAAUCUGGUCUUCGAGGACGUGGUGGUGCUGGUUUUCCAUCUGGUCUCAAAUGGUCCUUCAUGCCAAAGACAACAGAUGGCCGUCCUUCAUAUCUUGUCGUCAAUGCUGAUGAAAG
rnacentral:misc_RNA from 1 species